UACGUAGGGUGCAAGCGUUAUCCGGAAUUAUUGGGCGUAAAGAGCUCGUAGGCGGUUUGUCGCGUCUGCUGUGAAAACCCGAGGCUCAACCUCGGGCCUGCAGUGGGUACGGGCAGACUAGAGUCCGGAAGAGGAGAGUGGAAUUCCUGGUGUAGCGGUGAAAUGCGCAGAUAUCAGGAAGAACACCCGUGGCUAAGGCGGCUCUCUAGUACGGU
rnacentral:rRNA from 1 species